GACGGUGCCGAUCAUGUGAUGCUUCCUGGGGAAUCCUGGGGUGAACCAGUGAACGGUGUUGACGGUGGUCGACAGUUCUUUGACGUUGUCACCACUUGGAAAUGCAUUAUCUCGCAAUGGGCAGGGCAUGUUGCAUCUUAGGAUGUCCCUCGGGAGGAGAUGCUCCAUCUCAUCAGAUCCCCAAGAAUCCAGCUCUCUUCCAGAAAUGGAAAAGCCUGAUUUACUCUGAGAAAAUUCAACAUAUGACCGAUGAGCAGAUAAGCAAGUGUGCUGUGUGCUAUCGGCAUUUUGCUGACAAUGACUAUCUAGUAACCUUCCGAGUAAGAAAAUUGAAACGUGGAGUUGCACCUUCCUUAAAUUUGCCAAACAGACCAGAUUCUAGUGUACCUGUUAUAAUUAAAGUAGAAACAUCGCCUGCGAGUAGAGAAACAUUUACUGCAAAAGAAAAGGUAACAGAAAUUCCAAGAAUAAUAGAAGAAUUAGAAACAACUCAAAUUACAUUAUUCGAAGAUAUUUCGGAAGAAAUUAAAUCCUGCUCAUUCGACCAGUCACAAAUUUUAUUAGAUAAGAAUAUUGAGCAAAUUAAUUCAACGGCAGAAACAUUUAAAUUAAAUCAUAAAGAAAGGACGUCGAGAAAGAAACGAAAAUUAACUACAAAACAAUUGCAUCUACUUCAAUGUAAACAACAAGCCAAACAAUAUGAAAAAACACCUUCGAUUCAAAAGCUGCUAUCUUUUCUCACGCCUGCUGAAAUAGCAACUAUUAAAACUAGAAUACGAAAAGCAAGAUAUGCCCCGAGAAUAUAUGUAAGAAUAUAUCACAACAUUGCACAAAGGAAGGCUUUUAGUCACUUAAAGCUCGUAGAAGAUUAGUAAUUUAUUGCAAGUCUUAAAAUCAAGAAUGCAAAAUCAGGAUGUGAAAUUCAUCUGCUUUAGAAUAUCAUGAGAAGCAAAUCUUAGCAAGUAUGAAUUUAUCGCAAUUAUAUUAACAACAAAGAAUUAAUUUCGCCAUAAUAAUGAGGAGAAUAAUAUUUGAAAAUUAAUCCAGGACACGAAAGACCUAUCAUGUGUAAUAAAGGUGCGAAAAAUUAAGUAAAACUAUAAUUAACGAGUUCGGCAACUACAUACAGAUGGAAAAGAUUCAAACGGGCAUGUUGGGUGCAAAGUUUCAACAUUAUGUCGAUACAACGGUAGUUUUACUGUAUUUUUAAAAACGAAUACAUGAAAUAUACAUUUAUAAUUAUAUGUAUGUAUAAUUGGUAGAAGGAUUGUAUUAUUCUCUGAAUAUAGACUUCUGAAUUCUAUCUUAUCGCUAACGGUGUCGCAAAGAGUAUCGUAGAACGUAUUCUUUCUGAACACAUAAUCUUGACGGGGAUUAUUCGGUUGAGCACUUUACUCGCCGGUAACGAAUACUUUUAUUAUGCGAGAGAAUCUCUAUACUGUUAUCAAUAGAGAUUCGUCAUUUAGGAAACGCGUCGAUAAAUAUUGUUCUGUGCGUAACCGAUUUCGGGGAGAGAAGUGAGAGUGGGAAACAGGAAUAAAUUCGAUCGAAUUAGUACAAAUAA
rnacentral:misc_RNA from 1 species